GCAUUGGUGGUUCAGUGGUAGAAUUCUAGCCUGCCAUGUGGGAGACCCUGGUCUGGUUCCUGGCCAAUGCA
rfam:Danio rerio chromosome 4, GRCz11 reference primary assembly.